rnacentral:rRNA from 1 species
GUCAGUGGCGAUAGCACGUUGAAUGCAAUAGUUCCUAAUGGAUCACUGAAGUUAAGCAACGUUGCGCGUGGUUGGUAUCCAGAUGGGUGACCAUCUGGGUAAUCGCGUGCUGCUGAAU